rnacentral:lncRNA from 1 species
UAUUUUGGGUAUCAAAGUGUAGUGUCCCUGGUGUUCUGCAGCCCGUGUAUUUCAGCAUCUGAGGCUUGUCGACAAAUCUGGAGAGUGUCGAGACAAGUCGAAGUCGUUUUGGGCAAAUUGGAUGCAAAACGGACUCAGUGCGAUGCGAGAGCAGAGUUUUGACAUUGGAAUCUGUAAAGUACAAGAUUUCAGUGUUGAGUACCGAUACCAGGGAGAGGAGUACUGGUACCCCAGUGGAAUUUCAUAACUG